rnacentral:rRNA from 1 species
GAUGAACGCUGGCGGCGUGCCUAAUACAUGCAAGUCGAGCGAACGGACGAGAAGCUUGCUUCUCUGAUGUUAGCGGCGGACGGGUGAGUAACACGUGGAUAACCUACCUAUAAGACUGGGAUAACUUCGGGAAACCGUAGCUAAUACCGGUUAAUAUUUUGAACUGCAUGGUUCAAAAGUGAAAGACCGUCUUGCUGUCACUUAUAGAUGGAUCCGCGCUGCAUUAGCUAGUUGGUAAGGUAACGGCUUACCAAGGCAACGAUGCAUAGCCGACCUGAGAGGGUGAUCGGCCACACUGGAACUGAGACACGGUCCAGACUCCUACGGGAGGCAGCAGUAGGGAAUCUUCCGCAAUGGGCGAAAGCCUGACGGAGCAACGCCGCGUGAGUGAUGAAGGUCUUCGGAUCGUAAAACUCUGUUAUUAGGGAAGAACAUAUGUGUAAGUAACUGUGCACAUCUUGACGGUACCUAAUCAGAAAGCCACGGCUAACUACGUG